AGUAAAAUAGCUUAAUUAAUAAAGUGAUAAAUUGUAAAUUUAUAGAUAAAUAUUUAUAUUUUUUUACUA
rnacentral:tRNA from 1 species